rnacentral:rRNA from 1 species
AGAACGAACGCUGGCGGCAUGCCUAAUACAUGCAAGUCGAACGAACUCUUCGGAGUUAGUGGCGCACGGGUGCGUAACGCGUGGGAAUCUGCCCUUGGGUUCGGAAUAACAGUUGGAAACGACUGCUAAUACCGGAUGAUGACGAAAGUCCAAAGAUUUAUCGCCCAGGGAUGAGCCCGCGUAGGAUUAGCUAGUUGGUGAGGUAAAGGCUCACCAAGGCGACGAUCCUUAGCUGGUCUGAGAGGAUGAUCAGCCACGCUGGGACUGAGACACGGCCCAGACUCCUACGGGAGGCAGCAGUAGGGAAUAUUGGACAAUGGGCGAAAGCCUAGAUCCAGCAAUGCCGCGUGAGUGAUGAAGGCCUUAGGGUU